rnacentral:tRNA from 1 species
GGCAGCCGAGUGGUUGCUCAUCACUGGGAUGAUGACGAAGGCGCUGGGCUCAUAACCCAGAGGUCGCAGGCUCAAAUCCUGUCCCCGCUACCA